CCUACGGGAGGCAGCAGUGGGGAAUAUUGCACAAUGAGGGAAACCUUGAUGCAGCCAUGCCGCGUGUGUGAAGAAGGCCCGAGGGUUGUAAAGCACUUUCAAUUGUGAGGAAAGGUUAGUCGCUAAUAUCGGCUAGCUGUGACGUUAACUUUAGAAGAAGCACCGGCUAACUCUGUGCCAGCAGCCGCGGUAAUACAGAGGGUGCAAGCGUUAUUCGGAAUUACUGGGCGUAAAGCGCGCGUGGGCGGACUGUUAAGUCGGUUGUGAAAGCCCUGGGCUCAACCUAGGAAUUGCAUCCGAUACUGGCAAUCUAGAGUUUAGGAGAGGGAAGUGGAAUUCCUGGUGUAGCAGUGAAAUGCGUAGAUAUCAGGAGGAACAUCAGUGGCGAAGGCGACUUCCUGGCCUAAAACUGACGCUGAGGUGCGAAAGCGUGGGUAGCGAACGGGAUUAGAUACCCCGGUAGUCCACGCCGUAAACGAUGUCAACUAGCUGUUGGCCUUAUUAAAAAGGUUAGUAGCGUAGCUAACGCGCUAAGUUGACCGCCUGGGGAGUACGGUCGCAAGAUUAAAACUCAAAGGAAUUGACGG
rnacentral:rRNA from 1 species